CCAAUCGCGAACAAGAAGAAGAAGAUGUCUUCUUCAUCGUCCUCGUCGUCGAGGCGAGUGGUGAAGCGUGCACAAUAUAAGGAUGCAGCAAGAUUAAAGAACCCUGGCAUUCCCGGCGUUUUAACUAUGGUCACAAAAACACUAAGGAGGGAUCCAAGCAAGCACCUUUGCUUAAUCUUAGCAGCAGUCGUUAAAAGUUACAUUUUUGAGUUUCAAAGUUUUCCCGAUCUUCAUGAAUGCCGUGAUUUUGUAGCCAAUGCCCUAUCUAAGGCUUCAGAAGCUGCAAAAACUGGUCCUAAAAAAGUUGUAGUUACAUUGCCUGAUGAACAACUCAGUGCAGCGGAAAUGGAGCUCCGUAUGAAGCUAUUGCAAGAAGACAGUGAACUGCAGAAACUUCAUAUGCAGUUUGUAAUCAGUGGUGUUUUGACAGAAUCUGAGUUCUGGGCAACUAGGAAGAAGUUGCUUGAUGGAGAGAGCCAUACAAAGCCAAAACAACGGGUUGGUUUUAAAAAUUCAAUGAUUUUGGACACCAAACCUACAAGUGACGGUCGGAUGAACAAGGUUACGUUUAAUUUCACUCCAGAGAUUAAAUAUCAGAUCUUUGCUCUCAAACCGGCUGUUCACCAGGCAUUUCUUGAACUAGUGCCCAGUAAGAUGACAGCAAAAGACUUCUGGACAAAAUAUUUCAGAGCUGAAUUCCUUCACAGUACAAAGAAUGCUGCUGCAAUUGCGGCAGAAGCUGCUGAGGAUGAGGAACUGGCAAUUUUUUUAAAGGAGGAUGAAAUAUUGGCAAGGGAAGCUCAUCAGAAGAUUCGACAGGUUGAUCCAACUUUGGAUAUGGAAGCUGACCAAGGGGAUGAUUAUACACAUCUUCCUGAUCAUGGGAUCUUUCGUGAUGGUAGCAAGGACAUCACUGAACUACAGAAUGAGCAAUACAGGAGGACUUUAUCACAAGACCUUAACAGGCAAGGGGCUGUUGUUCUUCAAGGCAGAACUGUUGAUGGGGAUUUAGAAGAUCCAAAUAAUGUUGCAGAGGCACUUAUGCGGUCAAGACAGGAGCCUGAUGAGAGUGCUGUGCAGGAGAGACUUGAUAGGAUUACUCGGAUGAAUGAGAUAGAUGACCUUCGAGAACCUCGCGAUCAUCGUGUUGCUCAAUUAUGUAUUAAGGAUCCUCGAGACUACUUUGACACGCAACAAGCUAAUGCACUUAAAGCUUUGGAUGACUCACGAAUAGGAACGGAACAAAAAAAAUGCAGCAUAACUACUGAGGAAGCAUAUGGCUCCUUGAAGGAGUCUAUAUCUAAAAUUAAGAGCAUUGGAUUGAAAAAUUCCACUGUUGCACCAGAAAUUGCUCUUAUGGUUCUUAAUGGACUGACUCAGAAUAUUUCUAGUACCAAGUAUCAACUCGGAAAGAAUCCUCGGGAGAGUAUUCUGGACAGUUUGCCAAACAAAACGAAAGAGGAACUGCUGCAUCAUUCGAUGUCCAUUCAAGAAUUACUGCGGCAUUUUUGGUCUACAUAUCCAAUUACAACAGCUUAUCUUUCUACAAAGGCAAACUGAAGGAUGCCAUGUCACAAAUCUAUCGACAGCUAGAGGUAUCAGUCCUGCUACUUUAUCUUUUUCUCAUUUGUUUUCUGGGCUAUUUAAAGACUCCUUCAUAGUGUCAUUAUUGAUGUUGAGCUGUUUUAAAAUUUUCAUGUGGAAUGUGUAGUAAUUUUAUAAGUAGUGCUGAAAACAGCCCACUAGUGUUGUCUGCCUCAUCAAUUCGAGGUUCCUUCACCUCAAAAGUAGUUGUGCUCCUGGUGCCUUCUUUGCCUCAUUGCUAACACAGUCAUCUAUUAAAAUCUGGUCGCCUUAUAGCUUUAUGACAAUCCAUUGGGGAUUUUCUGUGACUGUAUCUUAUAUCAAACAGCCUGUUUGUGGCAACCUGUGUGUGGUGGAUCUUCAUUGGAGUGGAGCGAUGGAAAGAGGUUUGGAGACGAGAGAGAGACAUUGAUUUCUUAUUGGAGGAUUUGAUGCAUAUUUUUAUCUACCGCUUUGACUGUCUAAAGAUUCUUAGCUAGUGCUCCACCUUUGCAGUUCAACAUCUACCUUAAUUCUGCUUCAUGAAAUUCGUAAAAACAGAAAAUGUCAUUUGGUGAUCUUCUCAAAACUCUUUUUUUCUGUUUUGAUAUAUGCAAUACUGAUUUCUUCAUGUUUUAAACCCCACAUUAAUCGGGUUUAAUUGUUUUGGAAGAGGGUUUAGGAUCUACUUUGUUCACGUAUCGAUUGAAAUUUUCCAGGAGAUAAAGGAAUCAGACUAUAGCCGACCCCACUUAGUGGGAAAAGGCUUUGUUGUUGUUGUUAUAAAGGAAUCAGACUUCCGGCACCAGGUUUCUCUCCUUGUUCGGCCAAUGCAUCAGGCACUUGAUGCGGCGUUUCA